rnacentral:rRNA from 1 species
AUGGCAGUAGUGUCAUUUGACAUGACAUUCUCUUAUGUAGCUGCUGGAUGGGAGGGUUCUGCAUCGGAUCAAGUUGUUCUAAGAUGGGCUGUGACUAGUGGGGGUUUAGUUGUUCCUGAAGGUAAAUUUUACCUUGUUGAUUCAGGCUACGCAAAUACUCCAAGAUCUAUUGCCCCGUAUCGUGGAGAUCGCUAUCAUAUUGCUUCUUUUCGUGGAAGUAAUCGGCGAUAUACUAGUGAGAAGGACUUGUUCAACCAUCUACAUGCACAGUUGCGGAAUGUUGUUGAACGAACUAUUGGUGUUCUAAAAGCUCGUUUUCCAAUUCUAAGUAGGAAAGGAGAAAUUCCUUAUCCAUACAGAACUCAAGUGAAAAUUGUUAUGACUUGUUGCAUUAUCCACAACUUCAUAAGGAAGGUUAAUCAUCCUGAUGAGUUAUUCGAGCUUUAUGAGCAUGGGGAAACAGAACAAAAUACUGACCAUGGUGAUCAACAAGUUCAUGGGCAAGCAACAGAAGAUGAUAGAGUUGCUGGUGAGAGAGUUCGUGCUGCCAUCGCCCGAGAGUUGUGGACUAAACAUCAACAACGUAGUUCUCUACCAGAAGAUGAUUAA